UGUGUGUUAGUGGAAGCGUCUGGAAAGGCGCGCGAUACAGGGUGACAGCCCCGUACACAAAAAUGCACAUACUGUGAGCUCGAUGAGUAGGGCGGGACACGUGGUAUCCUGUCUGAAUAUGGGGGGACCAUCCUCCAAGGCUAAAUACUCCUGACUGACCGAUAGUGAACCAGUACCGUGAGGGAAAGGCGAAAAGAACCCCGGCGAGGGGAGUGAAAAAGAACCUGAAACCGUGUACGUACAAGCAGUGGGAGCCUCUUUAUGGGGUGACUGCGUACCUUUUGUAUAAUGGGUCAGCGACUUAUAUUCUGUAGCAAGGUUAACCGAAUAGGGGAGCCGAAGGGAAACCGAGUCUUAACUGGGCGUUAAGUUGCAGGGUAUAGACCCGAAACCCGGUGAUCUAGCCAUGGGCAGGUUGAAGGUUGGGUAACACUAACUGGAGGACCGAACCGACUAAUGUUGAAAAAUUAGCGGAUGACUUGUGGCUGGGGGUGAAAGGCCAAUCAAACCGGGAGAUAGCUGGUUCUCCCCGAAAGCUAUUUAGGUAGCGCCUCGUGAAUUCAUCUCCGGGGGUAGAGCACUGUUUCGGCAAGGGGGUCAUCCCGACUUACCAACCCGAUGCAAACUGCGAAUACCGGAGAAUGUUAUCACGGGAGACACACGGCGGGUGCUAACGUCCGUCGUGAAGAGGGAAACAACCCAGACCGCCAGCUAAGGUCCCAAAGUCAUGGUUAAGUGGGAAACGAUGUGGGAAGGCCCAGACAGCCAGGAUGUUGGCUUAGAAGCAGCCAUCAUUUAAAGAAAGCGUAAUAGCUCACUGGUCGAGUCGGCCUGCGCGGAAGAUGUAACGGGGCUAAACCAUGCACCGAAGCUGCGGCAGCGACGCUUAUGCGUUGUUGGGUAGGGGAGCGUUCUGUAAGCCUGCGAAGGUGUGCUGUGAGGCAUGCUGGAGGUAUCAGAAGUGCGAAUGCUGACAUAAGUAACGAUAAAGCGGGUGAAAAGCCCGCUCGCCGGAAGACCAAGGGUUCCUGUCCAACGUUAAUCGGGGCAGGGUGAGUCGACCCCUAAGGCGAGGCCGAAAGGCGUAGUCGAUGGGAAACAGGUUAAUAUUCCUGUACUUGGUGUUACUGCGAAGGGGGGACGGAGAAGGCUAUGUUGGCCGGGCGACGGUUGUCCCGGUUUAAGCGUGUAGGCUGGUUUUCCAGGCAAAUCCGGAAAAUCAAGGCUGAGGCGUGAUGACGAGGCACUACGGUGCUGAAGCAACAAAUGCCCUGCUUCCAGGAAAAGCCUCUAAGCAUCAGGUAACA
rnacentral:rRNA from 1 species